UACCUGGUUGAUCCUACCAGUAGUCAUAUGCUUGUCUCAAAGAUUAAGCCAUGCAUGUCUAAGCAUGAACUAAUUCAGACUGUGAAACUGCGGAUGGCUCAUUAAAUCAGUUAUAGUUUCUUUGAUGGUACCCUACUACUCGGAUAACCAUACUAAUUCUAGAGCUAAUACGGGCACCAAGUCCCGACUCUUUGGAAGGGAUGCAUUUAUUAGAUAAAAGGCCGGUGCGGGCUUGCCCUCUUCUCUGGUGAAUCAUGAUAACUCAACGGAUCGCACAGCCCUUGUGCUGGCGAUGCUUCAUUCAAAUUUCUACCCUAUCAACUUUUGAUGGUAGGAUAGAGGCCUACCAUGGUGGUGACGGGUGACGAAGAAUUAGGGUUUGAUUCCAGAGAGGGAGCCUGAGAAAUGGCUGCCACAUCCAAGGAAGGCAGCAGGCGCACAAAUUACCCAAUCCUAACAUGGGGAGGUAGCGAAAAUAAAUAACAAUACUGGGCUCAUCGAGUCUGGUAAUUGGAAUGAGUACAAUAUAAAUCCCUUAACGAGGAUCCAUUGGAGGGAAAGUCUGGUGCCAGCAGGCACGGUAAUUCCAGAGCCAAUAGCGUAUAUUUAAGUUGUUGCAGUUAAAAAGCUCAUAGUUGGAUCUUGGGUCGUAAAGGUCUGUCUGCCUACUUGGUGUGCACCUGCCCUUCCGUCCCUUUUUUCGGUGGAAUGCUCCUGGCCUUAAUUGGCUGGGUCGCAAUUCUGGCGUUGUUACUUUGAAAAAAUUAGAGUGCUCAAAGCCAGCUUAUGCUCUGAAUAUAUUAGCAUGGAAUAACGUGAUAGGAGUCUGGUCCUAUUGUGUAGGCCUUCGGGACCGGAGUAAUGAUUAAUAGGGACUAUCGGGGGCAUUCGUAUUUCAUUGUCAGAGGUGAAAUUCUUUGAUUUAUGAAAGACAAACCACUGCGAAAGCAUUUGCCAAGGAUCUUUUCAUUAAUCAAGAAUGAAAGUUGGGGGCUCGAAGACGAUCAGAUACCGUCCUAGUCUCAACCAUAAAUGAUGCUGACCAGGGAUCGGCGGAUGUUUCUCUAAGGACUCCGCCAGCACUUUCUGAGAAAUCAAAGUGUUUGGGUUCCGGGGGGAGUAUGGUCGCAAGGCUGAAACUUAAAGGAAUUGACAGAAGGGCACCACCAGGAGUGGAGCCUGCGGCUUAAUUUGACUCAACACGGGAAAACUUACCAAGUCCAGACAUAGUAAGGAUUGACAGAUUGAGAGCUUUUUCUUGAUUCUAUGGGUGGUGGUGCAUGGUCGUUCUUAGUUGGUGGAGCGAUUUUUCUGGUUAAUUCCGAUAACGAACGAGACCUCAGCCUGCUAACUAGCUGUUAGCGAUAUUUCUUGCUAAGGGGUUUAGAUAUCAAAAGAAUGGGUUAAAACCCACUUGUCCAAAGUUUUGGGCGAUAAUGCCCCAAUGAUAAGCAGCAAGAAAGAUCGGACGGUCCAGAUUUCCGUGCCCAGAUCGACGGCGCAUAGUGAAUUUUGGACCCUCCUUGCCUUUCGAUCUUUAAGCAAAGGGGGGGGGUCCGAGAUCGGGGGCGCAGCUCUCCGACG
rfam:Picea glauca, whole genome shotgun sequence.